GUGGGGAAUCUUCCACAAUGGACGAAAGUCUGAUGGAGCAACGCCGCGUGAGUGAAGAAGGGUUUCGGCUCGUAAAGCUCUGUUGUCGGGGACGAAUGUGCAGUAUUUGAAUAAAGUACUGCAAUGACGGUACCUGACGAGGAAGCCACGGCUAACUACGUGCCAGCAGCCGCGGUAAUACGUAGGUGGCAAGCGUUGUCCGGAAUUAUUGGGCGUAAAGGGAGCGCAGGCGGGAAGGUAAGUCAGUCUUAAAAGUGCGGGGCUCAACCCCGUGAUGGGAUCGAAACUAUCUUUCUUGAGUGCAGGAGAGGAAAGUGGAAUUCCUAGUGUAGCGGUGAAAUGCGUAGAUAUUAGGAGGAACACCAGUGGCGAAGGCGGCUUUCUGGACGGUGUCUGACACUGAGGCGCGAAAGCCAGGGGAGCGAACGGGAUUAGAUACCCCAGUAGUCC
rnacentral:rRNA from 1 species